rnacentral:rRNA from 1 species
AAUAAAACCGUUGCCUCGGCGGGCGGUCCCCCCAACCAAACCCCACGUGGUGGGUUAGGGGACCAGACAGUCCGGCACGCUUAAGGCGUCCGGCGCCAGCCGCUGGCCCCAAACAAUUAAACUCUAGUAACCUUUACCUUCUGAGUUUUAAUAUUUAAAAAUAAGUCAAAACUUUCAACAACGGAUCUCUUGGCUCUGGCAUCGAUGAAGAACGCAGCGAAAUGCGAUAAGUAAUGUGAAUUGCAGAAUUCAGUGAAUCAUCGAAUCUUUGAACGCACAUUGCGCCCGCUGGUAUUCCAGCGGGCAUGCCCGUUCGAGCGUCAUUUCAAUUCCUUCCUGGGUGACUCUUCUACUAAAUUUUUAGUGGGGGUGUCUACUGGGGCGUUGGCACUGGGCGCCACCUUUUUGGAGGCGGCCGGAGCCGAAAUAAAGUGGCGGACGCGCAGCGGCCCCUAGCGCAGUAGAACAUCCUUCUCGCUUGGGAGACCUGCAGUGGUGGACCACAGCCCUCUACAUAUAUUAUAUGUAAAAGCUAUAUGAAAACUUGACCUCGAAUCGGGUAGGACUACCCGCUGAACUUAAGCAUAUCAAUAAGCGG